rnacentral:lncRNA from 7 species
CCUUACUAUGCCUCUCUAUGGGGGCAGCUGACCCCCAUCCUAAAGGGUUCCCCAAAGCCCCCUCAGUCCCUUUCGGUGCUGAAGGGCACCUCCUAACCCCCCCCCCCUCCCCCCUCCCCCCACCCCAAAGCAAAUCACUGCCUUUAAAAUCCCUCAGUAAUCUUUCCAACCCCCCCCCCCCCCCCAACCCCCCAUAAGAAGAAAUCCCACAUUGCGGUGUAGGUGAGAGCGCUCACAUCAAUGGGGUUGGGGUUCUCAGUGCAGUUUGUGUAGGAGAAGGCAAUUGUUUCUCCCCCCCCCCCUCCCCCCCCCAGCACAGGGAAGGUGGGGGGUGGGGGGGGGGGUGGGGGGGGGGGGGAACAGCCCCACAUUUGGGACCAUCUGUGUGAUGUCAGUGCCAUUGGGGUGGGAAUUUGGGUAAGGGAGGGCGCCCUGACCUCAGCCGUGGUGCUGUGGGCCGCGGCUCCGAAAUGCGACCCUAUGGGUAUAGGGGACCCUAUAGCUCCCCUAAAUCCCCCCCUCCUCCCCCCCCAACCACACACACACCCCCGGGGGGGGGGGGUUCCAGGCUUGUGGGUGAGGUGGGAGGGCCUGAGGUGCAGCCGUGUGGGUGGAGAGAUGCAGAGGGGGGGGGAGAGAGUGCAUGGAGUGCGUGGGGUUGCAUGGGGUUGUGUGGGGUUGCAUGCAGUGCGUGGGGUUGCAUGGGGUGCGUGGGGUUGCAUGGAGCUCUGUGGGGUUGCACUGAGUGCAUGGGGUUGCAUGGAGUGCGUGGGGUUGCAUGGAGUGCAUGGGGUUGCAUGGAGCUCUGUGGGGUUGCAUGGAGCUCUGUGGGGUUGCACUGAGUGCAUGGGGUUGCAUGGGGUUGUGUGGAGUUGCAUGCAGUGCGUGGGGUUGCAUGGAGGUGUGUGGGGUUGCACUGAGUGCAUGGGGUUGCAUGGGGUUGCAUGGAGUGUGUGGGGUUGCAUGGAGCUCUGUGGGGUUGCACUGAGUGCGUGGGGUGGCAUGGAGUGCGUGGGGUUGCAUGGGGUUGUGUGGGGUUGCAUGGAGUGCGUGGGGUUGCAUGGAGUUGUAUGGGGUUGCACUGAGUGCAUGGGGUUGCAUGGAGUUGUGUGGGGUUGCAUGGAGCUCUGUGGGGUUGCAUGGAGUUGUGUGGGGUUGCAUGGAGCUUUGUGGGGUUGCAUGGAGUGCGUGGGGUUGCAUGGAGCUCUGUGGGGUUGCACUGAGUGCAUGGGGUUGCAUGGAGCUCUGUGGGGUUGCAUGGACUGCAUGGGGUUGUGUGGGGUUGCACUGAGUGCAUGGGGUUGCAUGGAGUGCAUGGGGUUGCAUGGGGUUGUGUGGGGUUGCAUGCAGUGCGUGGGGUUGCAUGGAGCUCUGUGGGGUUGCACUGAGUGCAUGGGGUUGCAUGGAGUUGUGUGGGGUUGCACUGAGUGCAUGGGGUUGCAUGGAGUGCGUGGGGUUGCAUGGAGUGCGUGGGGUUGCAUGGAGUUCUGA